GCUGGCGGCAUGCUUAACACAUGCAAGUCGAACGAGAUCUUCGGAUCUAGUGGCGCACGGGUGCGUAACGCGUAUACAAUCUACCUUUUACAGGGGGAUAGCCUUUAGAAAUGAAGAAUAAUACCCCAUAGUAAGUAAUUUUCGCAUGGAAGAUACUUUAAAGUUUCGGCGGUAAAAGAUGAGUAUGCGUUCUAUUAGCUAGAUGGUAAGGUAACGG
rnacentral:rRNA from 1 species